rnacentral:rRNA from 1 species
UACGGAGGUUGCAAGCGUUGUUCGGAAUAACUGGGCGUAAAGGGAGCGCAGGCGGUCUCGUAAGUCUAAAGUGAAAUGCCAGGGCUCAACCUUGGACGUGCUUUGGAUACUGCAAGACUUGAGUACGUGAGAGGAGAGUGGAAUUCCAGGUGUAGCGGUGAAAUGCGUAGAUAUCUGGAGGAACACCGGUGGCGAAAGCGGCUCUCUGGCACGUUACUGACGCUGAGGCUCGAAAGCGUGGGGAGCGAACGGG